GAUUUAAAAUAAUAAUAAUAAUAAUUACGACCUAUACAAGAUGCCCAUCAAGAAUAUAAUUGAACUGCAGACUAAUUUAUACCCAUGAAGCAUGUUGGAGAUGACAAAUUUUAGUUGGGAUAUAUUGUUCCAAAAAGAACAUUCAUCUCAAGAAACAUGUUACUUGUGGUUUUAUGCAUUUAUCAAGAUCAUCCUUAUGCAACAGAGUUAAACAGAAAAAGAGUGGAAUAAGAAUAAUACCUUCAUGAGGAUAAUGUCCAAAA
rnacentral:misc_RNA from 1 species